UCUACGGGUGGCUGCAGUGAGGAAUAUUGGUCAAUGGCCGAGAGGCUGAACCAGCCAAGUCGCGUGAGGGAAGACGGCCCUACGGGUUGUAAACCUCUUUUGUCGGGGAGCAAAGCGAACCACGUGUGGUUCAUUGAGAGUACCCGAAGAAAAAGCAUCGGCUAACUCCGUGCCAGCAGCCGCGGUAAUACGGAGGAUGCGAGCGUUAGCCGGAUUUAUUGGGUUUAAAGGGUGCGCAGGCUGAGGUGCAAGUCAGCGGUCAAAUUGCGGGGAUAAACCCCGUACUGCCGUUGAAACUGCAUCCCUUGAGUGCGCGAGAGGUAUGCGGAAUGCGUGGUGUAGCGGUGAAAUGCAUAGAUAUCACGCAGAACUCCGAUUGCGAAGGCAGCAUACCGGCGCGCAACUGACGCUCAUGCACGAAAGCGUGGGUAUCGAACAGGAUUAGAUACCCUUGUAGUC
rnacentral:rRNA from 1 species